CGGGAGGACCAGGCCCCUGCGCCCGGGACCCACGAGAUUGCCGCCGGCCGCCCCUGGGACCUUACUGUCUGCCGGCACCUGCCUCGCCCCUGCCGUGGCUUCUCCCCUGGGAUCCUCACCUUAUCCUAGUAUUUAGCCCUAUUUCACAGAUGAAGCAGUGGAGGCACAGAGUUUAAGUAGAAUGCCCAAGGUAAAGACGACGUGACGGUGAGGUCUGACCCUGGGCGGUCUGGCUCCAGGCCCUAAGCUCUUAACCACUGUUACUAGACACACACACACACACACACACACACACACACACACACUCAUGCCCUAUAUAGUUUCUCAUCUUUUUCCUUUUCACUUACGUCACUGACCGCUUUCCACGUCAUAAAUACAGCCCUCGGUUAUUCCUGUUUCAGGUCCCGACGCGCUGGGAAGAUUCUAUCCAUGCGCCCCGCCCCCCAUAUCCCUUUUUCCCCAGCAGCUAAGGGACCUGGGUCCGGACCCCCGGCGCCCUGUCAUUGAGUUAAGAAUUAAGGUAAGCUCUGCCCAACAUGGAGCUCAAAUUCACGGCCCAGAGAUCAAGAGUCACUCACUAUACUGACUGAGCCAGCCAGGCACCAUAUGUUAGCCAUCUGUUGAUUGCCCUUUCUCAUUCCAGUUCAGCCUUCUUCUGGCUUUUGAACAUGGCAGAAGGGAUACUGUGUAAGUUCCACAGCCAAGGUUUUAAAGAAGCCUUGAACUAUCUCAUCUUCUGGAUCAGAGACCAUUAUGGAACUGGGACCACCAUAUUGUGAAGGUGGGACACAUCUAUCUACUGGAAGAUGAGACCACAAGAGAAGACAUCUAAAAGCCUCUGUGGUUGCAUUCCCUGGGCAACCUUCCUGAAUUGGGAGUUCUGAGAAGCCCAUGCACGUGGUAUGAUCAAACGUCAAGUGCCUACCCAAAGAGGGAGCCAGCUUCUUCUUCCCCCAUCACAGAAAACAAGUGUAAGGACAUACCCCAUCUCUUAUCUGGAAAUACUCCUAACCUUUUGCUAAAUCUCUUUCAAUUCUAUGACCAAAAGUAUAUUUUCAAGAAGGCCCCAUGAUGGGAAGAACGCACAGGAUCCCAGAACAUGAACUACAAUUCAUGUCCUUGUGGGCAUGCCUUUCAUUUCCCAAUUUAUCACAAUACGAAUAAAAGGACUGCCACAUUAUAUGUCAUGGGGCUGGGGUGGAGCAGGUGGAGAUGCAUAGAAGGAAAACAAUACUUAACAGUGGCUAUUUGGUAAUGGUAGAAAUAUGCAUGAUCUUUAGCUUUUCUUUUUUUCUGUUUUCCAGAAAACACAGAGGCGGGAAUCUGUAGGGUAUAUGGGAUUAAAGGCAUGAGUUCUGGGGCUUGGCUCCAGAUGAUCACAGCAUUCCUCCCCCAACCCCCAACCCCAUAUCCCUGCUUCUGCCCUCUUUCUCCUACAGUUUAAACUUGACACGGCAGCUAGAAGGACAUUCUCCUAAAAUACAUGUCAGACCCUACUACUCCUCUGCUCAAGGCCCUCCCUUAGCUCCCCAUCUUACUUAGAAUAGAAUCCAAGUCCUAAAAAUGGUCUACAAAGCCCUGGAAGAGCUGCCACCCCACAUGGCAUCCCACUGACUUCAUCUCUGAUUACUCUCACACACUUCUCCACUCCAAGAACACGGUUUCCUUCUGUUCUCUAUAGACACCAGGGAUACUAUCACCCUGGGUCCUUUAUCC